rnacentral:lncRNA from 1 species
CACAGCCUCCUGAUAACGGACGCCAUCUUAUCGCCUUCACUACCAAAACAGACCAACCCAAAGAAAAAAAGUAAUUGACGUAUAUCUACACUCUAGAAAAGGAAGCCGGUGCAACUGCAACGCAUGCAAGCAUACAGAGAAGUGACGGGUGCGGCAGAAACAGCACAAGGUGUAACAUCCAUGUGAAAACCACAGUACAACCACCGCCCUUACUCUUUCCGUCACGCAUGGUUCUAGCGCUGUUGCAUCUAAGUAAUGGAUGAGGGGCUGCGGCCUUGAAGAUCAAGACAGCUGACUUUGAGCCAUGUCUUCUGGUAGCUGAUAAUCAUCCAGAUUUAGAACUGCGUCAAUUGCCACUCGGAACUCGUGCUCCGGUAAAGACCAACAAAGCUCCACUGCAUAUAUAUAGGUACGUGGUGUCAAAGGCAGUCAGUGUGAGCGUUUAUAACCAAGUGUUGGUAUUCCAAGGACGAGAGCGAGGUGGCCGGAACACCGUGCUUUGUCAACAGAUGGCGAUGUUGUGGUAGUGUGUCGCUUUAUUGAGACGACAGUGCAUGCAAGCUCUCCUGUCUUCCUUAUGCAAUGUUUUUUUUCGUAGGCUGGAAAGGAGAGAAUAGGUUUUGUUUAUAUAUUUUUUUUUACUUGGCUGUUAUUGGUAUGCUUGGAUUUUAUGGAGGUGUUUUUUAAUUAUUUAUUUAUUUAUUUAUUUUAUUAUUAUUAUUUUUUACUUUCUUCGUUCUUCUCACCUUUAUCGAGUCUCCGUCUUCGUUUCGUUUCUUAUUCACGUCCUUCUUAUCUUUUUUUUUUUCUCUGUCUCUCUCUCCUUCCUUUCCCUCGUCCUAUCUCCUUCAUGCUCUCUUUUUCUGCUUAUUUAUUUUAUCUAUCUCUUGUCUCCUUCGUUAUUGUAUUCCCUGUUUUCGGUCUUCAAUCUUCCCUCUUUCUCUAGAUCUUCUUUCAUUCUUUCUUCCCCCUCGAUGUUUUCCUUUGUGCAGUCUUCUUCUCUUCCUCGCCUCUUCUUUAUACAA